rnacentral:sRNA from 12 species
GCUGUGGAGUGUCAAACAAAAGUCGGUAGCUUCGGCAAAGACGGACACGUUGAAGCAGUAA